AGUAUUCAUGUGGAACAUUGGCCUGUAGUUUUCUUAUUUUGAUGUCUCUGUCUGAUUUUGGUAUCAGGGUAAUACUGGCCUCACAGAAUGAAAUGCUUUGAUGUCUUAAAUGGUACAUCCAAACUUAAGUGAAAUAGAGCUGUGAGGACAUUUUGGGGAGAAGUGACCUAGAUAAGCACUGACUGUUGCAUUCAUCUCUCUUCUUGCUGAUUGUGAUGAUUUCCUGUGCCAUAGCCAUUCAAAGUCUGCCAAAAAAGUAACCAGUGAUGUGCAGGCGGCUCAACAGUACUCAGUCAGUGAGUUUCUCCAGCAGUUCAGAGGGCUGCUUCUGGUGGAAGAGCUCUAGGAAGACAGUGCUACAUGAGGACCUCUUUGUUUUUUUUUUGAGACAGAGUCUGGCUCUGUUGCCCAGGCUGGAGUUCAAUGGUUUGAUCUCGGCUCACUGCAACCUCCACCUCGUGGGUUCAAGCGAUUAUCCUAUCUCAGCCUCCCAGUAGAUGGGAUUACAGCCUCCAAGUAGCUGGGAUUACAGGCACCCGCCACGAGGGCCUGUUUCUGCAUAGUGGCCGUGGCCCUCCAUUAUUUCAGCAAUGGAUUGUUUCUUUGGACCACCUUUGACCAGCCUGUCACUUCAUGGACACUCUGCAGGGAGUUUCCAUAGAACAGCUCCAGCCUACCCGACCCUCUACUGAAUUUUCCAGAUACCCAGUGGAUUCCUCUUAUGAAUGAGCUCUAGCUGCAACCUCUGGCAAGUUUGUUUGCCAUAGGUAGAUUGUAGUUGCUUGUAGUAGUCAUACUCUCUCUAAUAAAGUCUGUAACUUAGACAAGCAAGGGGAGGGGAAUAUCUUCCAACUUCUAAACUCCUUUCAUCUGUAUUCUUACUCACCAGAAAUAAUGGAUGGUUUCUGCAUUUAUUACUCCUAUAUUCCACUAGUUACCUAUAUUAUUAACCCUUUACUAGUUAAUAGUUCUUCACCCUAAAAUGUUCGUGUUGAACAUAUUGCUGUGGUUUCUAUCUACUGAUUGGAACUUGACUAACUUGUGUUUCUAUUUACCUUUAGUUCAAAAUAUUUUCUAAUUUCCCUUAUGAGUCCUUUUUUGACCCAGAGGUCAUUAAGAAGUAUGUUGGGCUGGGCGUGGUGGCUCACACCUGCAGUCCCAGCAAUUUGGGAGGCCGAGGUGGGUGGAUCACC
rnacentral:lncRNA from 1 species